rnacentral:piRNA from 1 species
UGGUGUUGCUGAGUUUGACAGAUGAAUGGU